UCAACUGGGCAGGCCUCUAAAUUUUCCUCUUUGCUUCCCCAGGUUUCCUCUCAAGUUUUUCCUCCCUUUCUCUCUCUUCCCCCAUCCUCUAUAUCCUGUAACUCUGUAAACUAGAACCCGUGAAAAUGGAGGUUUCUCCUUCAAGGUCAAGAAAUCUAAGGCUUUUCUCUGUUUGUGAGCCUCCAUCUCUCUACUGGUUAUGAUUUCUCUAGGUUUUCAGUGCGGUUGAUACGUGACUGCGAGAGGGGAAGCUUUGGUUCCUACUCGUAGUGUUGGUGUUCCUCGAUCAAUCAAGGAACCUACGCCGGAGUUGGUAUGUUUCCUAUCUCUUAAUCUCUUAUUUAUGUUCCCAGAAAACAUCCAAUGUUAAUUUGAUUGAGGAAAUCAUAUUUGUUCCUGGUUUAUCUUUGAAGCAUUUUGUCGAACACAUUGUGUGCACGAAAUAUUUCUAUCUCAAUUGGGAUUUAUAUUGGGAAAUUGUUGUCAAAUUAUCCUACAUAAUAUUAUGUUUGAACCAACCUCCUCCAAUAAUUUUUGUUCAACGCUCAAAUUGAACCUAAUUAUGUAUUUAUACGCAAAUCAAUUAAACCAUGGUGUCAAUUUUGUUAUGAUUUUAAUGGUAAUCUCAUGAUAAAUUAUGUGUAGUUAUUUUGACAUAACUGAGAAGGGUUCAAGGUGGGGUAAGGAGAUAGAGAUCGAUAAAGAUAAUUGUGUGUUGUGUGCCUAGGAAAAGAUGGGCUCAAGGUGGGAUCAUUUCAGAAGAAUACAAAAUGGACAACAUCCUUAUCAAUUACCCACUUAAUCAAUCACUCACUUAAUCUUAAUGGCAAUGUUACUAUUUGUCCUCCACCUGAUGUGUUAGUAUUUCCUUUUGGCAGCAAUUUAGGACACCUUAGAGCAGAGCUUGGUAAAAGGGGAGUGAGUACUGAAUAGUGCAUCUUUUGUAAAAUGUGAGUUGUUACAUUCCAUCAGUCACACCAGGGGUUGUUCAUCAGUUGUAAUCCAUGUACCAUUGGCAAGCACCUUAACAUUUGAAGCUAUCCUUUAUUUAUUUUAAAAUAAAGAAAUAUUUAUUACUAAACACACAUUUUUUUUUCUUGACAUUAAAGCUUCAGGGUUGAGGUUGCUUAGAAUGAAGUAUGAGGUGCUUUCAUAACUCUCAUAUACGGAUUAUAUAUCAUAAUAUCUGCAUAUAUUUACCCCACGUUGCACUAUUAGAGUUAAUUAGUAGCAUAUCUAUCAUGAAUUCUUGAAAGAGAAUUUUUUUGUUUAGCUGUGUAUUGGAUGUAUCUAUUGUUGACACUAGCACAUCCAUCUGAGAUUGGUUAGUUAACUUCUGAGAAAGUGAGAAUGGUCAAUGUGUUACCACUCAAGGGAAAUUAAAACUGAGUUACGUAAAGUCACCAAAACCAAAGGAGCCAUCUAUGUCGUAUUAUUAAGUAGCAAAUCCUGUAAGGCCGUAAAGAAGAUAACUUCCCAUAAAAGAGAACACAAACAUUGAACUACCUAGAGCUUAUAACUUACAAACUUCAAACAAUUGAGGAUUUUACACAGUCACAACUGAAUUUGCAGUAGCAGAAAUAUACAAAUUAGUGCAGGUUUUACUUAGAAUAUCAAGAUUUUACUUUUUCAAGUAAAAGCAGGUAUAGGGCUGUCUGAUUCUCGAAUGGCCUUCAGUACUUGAACUGUCUGCAUGCCGCACCCUUCGCAAAAUAUCCGGAAGAAACUGAGGGGCUUAGGGAGGGAGCUAUAGUCUUGAUAAAGUGGUUAGGUAGGUCAAGCCAGAUGUGCUACUUGGUUUCUGGAGUUGGCAGUCUCUUGAAUGAAGAGGUGAGUGUAUCAUGAGGUCUUUUUACAUUUUUAAGCCGGACUGAAAUGGAGUGAUGACUAAUGAGUAAAGACGAAUUUAAAUGGAUUAUGUAUGCUAUUUCAGAGAUUAUGAAACCGUUUGUUAGGGAUCUCGGUUAUUUGAUUGGUAUACUCCGUAUUAAAAAGGGGCUUGAACUUGGACUUACCAGUUUCAUGUAUGGAAUAUUUAGAUUAUCUUCAGUAAUAUGAUUAUGCUUCAUGUUUAUCAGAUGCCGUUUUAAGUACUUAUGUAGUUAUGUUACAUCUGAUAGUUAGGAAGGCAUUUCCCCUCUCGAAAAUAUAUUUUAUCAUUCUUGUAUAUUUUAAAUACUAAGCGUAUUGCAUAUAAUGUUCUGCCAUUGUUGUUUUUAAUUUUUGGAUAGAUAAAUAUAUUGAGACAUCUCAGUUGAGAAUAUAUGAGUAUAUGGGUAUGUACGAGUACAUUUUGUGUAAUCCUACAGCAGGAUAUUUGCUAUACGAAAUACUUUGGCAUUGUAUUUUCGAAAAGUAGAAGAAUAUUAAACAACUUUAAUACUUCGUACUAAGUAAUUGUUUGCGUUUCUUCGAUAUGUCUGAUGGCUGGAACUCUCAACUAUUAUUUUAGCACCAACAAAACCAUAAGGCAAUUUUCUUUUUUCUUUAUAAUUACAUGUGAUGUUUUUUUUUUGUUUUAUAUUCAAUUCCAUAAUCAAUGAGAGUCAUUAUUCUUCUUUGCUCAUGCAUUAUGCACGACUCCUAAUACAUUGGUUGUGCAGACCUUAAUUAUCACUCCUUUGUGGGUUCUGAUUAUUCAGCUGUCCACUGUGAUUACAGAUUAUUUUGAUCCAAGUUUCCUUGUCUUCUUCCUGUGACUUACCGACUUUGAUGAUUAGUUCGUUUAUUUAUUUAUUUAUUUAGGGACAUCGUUUUUUCUUAUGAGAAUCAGUAUUUCGGAGCUAGGGUGGAGAGUGUGAGAUGAGCAUAAAAAGUUAUCUUCGAUGUAGGAAACAGAUGGUAUCUUUUGUGUAGCAUAGGAACUAAGUUUCUUCUCCUAUUGAGGAAAUUGUUUCAUGCUUAAGUUAGUGUACGAUCUACCUACAGAUUCAUAUAACAAAGUAAGAUGAGGAUAUAAAAGAAUUUCUUGAAUUCAAGUGAGCUUCAGUGCUGUAUUAUUUUCAUGAUUGAAUUAGAUCAGUCUGAAGUUUCACCUAUUAAAGAUUGACCUAUAUUUACGUCCUUUGAGAUGAACUCCACUGCAUAAAACUUUUGAUCAAAUCGAUAAUCUGUCUUUUGUUGAUUUGUGAUAGUUUAUGUAUGUCUCUAUUUUUGGUUCUUUUCUGUUGAUUAUCUUUCGUUUCAUCUGCCUUUUUUUUCUCAGAAAUUUUGUUAUUUUGGGGGGUUUUAAUUGGAUAAUGUAGUUUAGUUUAUAAGGUAAAACUUUGAGUGGUAAUGUCAUAUGUAGAACAUUUUUCUGACCACAAACAAAUAUUAUAUGAUCCUCUUUGAACAGGUAAUAAAGUCCAAAAUCAGCAGUCUAUAAAUUUCUUAUAAAAUAUGUAUGCUUUUCUCGUCCCGUAUAUUUAUCACGCAUUUUUUUCUCUUGUUGAUGGGAGAAUCAACUGAAACAAUUGAAGAAAAUCCAACAGCCAGCGCAGUAGACCACUCCCGAGACUUAGUUUCAAGUUCAAGAAUUCUUCUUCAGAGAUUGAGAAUGCCGCCAUUCUUUCCCUCAGUUUUCCGUCUUCGGUGGGAGAAGGGAGAAAACCAAUGAUGCGGACAUUUUCUUUUUCAAAGCUUUUUACACCAAAAGGAAAUAAAGCAUAUUCAUUACCCGUUACUCCAAUUUCACGCUUACACUUAAUGUGGUUUAUCAGAUACUUUAAUCUAUGCACAUCAUCCAUUAUGGGUAGAAUUGUUUAACAUUUCUGCUAUUAUUCGUGCAGAAGUGGAUGCAUUGACCAGCUUUAAUUGAGUGAUUAUUAUGAAGGACCAACCUGCCGUCCAAGUAUUUCAACGGGGUCCAAUGCGAAUGAAAGUCUAGGGCAUCCUAUCAUUAGAAGUGAUUCUUUAGGCAGGGGUACAUUUGUACCCAAUGACAUUAAUAUUGGUGCCAAGACUCCCUUAUAGCACUUUACAAUCUCUCUAUAUUAAUCACCAGCAAACAUUGCCUUUGAUUGUAUCACCAGAUAUUGUAUUGUACUAAAGCUUUGUUUACCUAUUUUAUUUAUUAAAUUUCUCUUUACCUCGCCA